rnacentral:rRNA from 1 species
GUAGGCGGCAAGCGUUGUCCGGAAUUAAUGGGCGUAAAGCGCGCGCAGGCGGUUCUUUAAGUCUGAUGUGAAAGCCCACGGCUCAACCGUGGAGGGUCAUUGGAAACUGGAGAACUUGAGUACAGAAGAGGAAAGCGGAAUUCCACGUGUAGCGGUGAAAUGCGUAGAGAUGUGGAGGAACACCAGUGGCGAAGGCGGCUUUCUGGUCUGUAACUGACGCUGAGGCGCGGAAGCGUGGGGAGCAAACAGGAUUAGAUACCCUGGUAGUCCACGCCGUAAACGAUGAGUGCUAAGUGUUAGGGGGGUUUCCGCCCCCCUUAGUGCUGCAGCUAACGCAUUAAGCACUCCGCCUGGGAGUACGGCCGCAAGGCUG